CUAUGGGGUGGUGUGGUUAGCUCAUGAGGGGAACUCUUACCACAGACAAGCAGCUUCUCUAGGGGCUUCUGAGAGAGCAGAAAUAUUGCACUUCGAGUGAAGUGUCAUAGAGAGGGAAGCAAAUGGUUCCAUGGAACAACCUCCUUGAGCAGGGUGAGCCCUGCCUCCAACUUCGGGUGCUGAAAUCGGUGGAAAGUCCCUCAGGAUUUCAAGAUAUGAUCUGCAAGUGAAGGAUGGUGGCUUGAAGGUCACUCUACAGGGCCUAGCAGGCAGCCAGCAAUCUUCAAAGAUCUGGAACCACUGUAUUUUCCAGAAGAGCCUCAGCUGAGAUUUUCAGCUCUGCACCACUCAAUACCAAGUCCUGUGGACAAACUCACAUCCCUUUAAGCACUGAGACAUGCA
ensembl:lncRNA